UUAACUAUUAGAUAGUACUCAGACGACACUAACAUUCAGAGUUUGGGUUUCCUCUGGCAGACGCGAUCCAGCCGGAGCCGGGGGCCUGCCAAAGCAACAAAGAUAUAAUAUACAAGGGUGGGUGUUUCUACCCGUGAGGGCAGGGACACUGUAAUGAUCCUUCCGCAGGUUCACCUACGGAAA
rnacentral:misc_RNA from 1 species